rnacentral:lncRNA from 1 species
UUCACGUAUAGGUGGUCACACAAGCUGCUUACUAGCAGAUUCUUUAUUUAUAUAUUGUAGAUAAUUAUCAUAAGCUCCAUGCAUGCAUUAGUUAUCAUAUAGCCUGCAACUUGUCUGAUGCACUGCUUGCAGUUGUUUUCAAGUCUGAAGUGGUCAAUGACCAUGAAUGGAUGUCGUGUGCAAAACCAGUUAUUGAAGCACCAGAUAGACCAAACCUAACCUUGUUAGGGAGCACUGUUUUCAAAUCAACUAUUUUCAAAUCAACGAUUUUUUAAGGAUGAGUUAGACCCAAUUUAAACAAAAGAUUUUAGUCCCCGUGAGCUUAACUUAACCCAGUUGAUACGAACAUUGCAUAAUUAUGCAGGGGUUCGAACCCUUGACACCUCACUUCUCCACAUUUAAAAUGUGUGAGCUCCAGCUACUAGACUAGACCAAAAACAAAAAACAGAAGAUUUUAUAUUUUAUAUUUGCAUUUUGUGCCAAGUUGCCAAGACGAGGAAAUGGAGAUAAAACUAAGCAAGAAUCAAGGCCACUAAGACACAUGCCACAAAUUAGAAUAUUGAGAUUUUGGUAGGCAAUCUAAUAUAUUUUUGUACUUAAUAUAAUAUAUUUUGGUACUCAAUUGAUAUAUUUAAUUACUAGAUCUAAUAGGUGCAUUACUUGUUUCCAAAGUUUCUCACUUAUUAGUUGUAAACUAUCUCUAUAAAUAGAGAACUCACACAGUCAUUCUACACACCGAAAGUUACAGUUGAUGCUUCCUGUGCUUUUCUUCUCUUCUCCCUCUUUUGACUUGUGUUGACGAGUCUUUCUUCUUUUUCUACUCCUUUCUGUCCCUUCGGAAUUAAAAGUGUUCUUCAGACCAUAAUCCCUCUUCAGUUUAAUAUCCUUUUAGAGAAGAGAAAGCGGUAGAGUCCUUCGUCGAUCAAUCCAAAGGUAAGGGUGAGACUAACUUUGCAAUUCUAUUAAGUAUGUAAAUCAAUGGUUAGGUUUAACAUGAUGUAGGAUGAGUUUUUGAGGAAUUGAAAAGUAGGUUAAAAUUGUAGAAUUAAUGAAUAAACGGUGGAAACUUGUUAAAAAGAUGUAGAAACUGUCCUUAGACCUUAGAUAAUGAUUAAGAUGAUUUGAUGAUAUUUAUAAUGUUAUAUAUUUAGAUAUAUAUUGCAUGAAUUAUGUUUGAUGAUUGAGAUGUUGAUGACGUGUAUUUGUAAUUGUUAUAUAUGAUGAUUAUCAUUAUUGAUUGAUGCUAAUUUGUUGUUGUGAUGAAUAUGAUUUACUUUAAUGAUAUGAUUAAUGAGAGAAUAUUAUAUACUGUGAUUUAAUUAUUAAAUGCAUUGCUCGAAAUAUAUUAUUGAAUGAUCAAGAUGUUGUUGAAAUGAAUUGUUAUUAAGCUUGAUGUGAUUUGAUUAUGCUGCAAUUGUUAUUUAACUAAGUUGCAUGAGUAUGAAUAAGUUGAUGAUGAACUCCAAAUUAUUGGAUGUAUAAGUGAUAAGUUGAUUAAGGUGUCUUGUUGGUAGAGUCCAUGCAUUAGCAUUCAUUGAGCUUUGUCCUCCGCACGAUUAGGAGCUUUGUCCUCCGCACGAUAAAAGUAUAUUAAUACUUAUGAUGACGAUUGAUACCACAUGCAUAUAAGUGUCUAAGUUGCAUUGUCGCAUUUGUCGAGUCAAAGUCGUUGUUGAUGAAUUUUCAUCCAUGAGUUGUUAAGUUGAUGAAUUAUCAUCUAUGAGUUGUCGAGUUGUCUUCUACCCAUGUGUUGUUAAAGAAGUACCUAUGAAGAUUAUACGAUGUUUAUGAUGUGAAUUAUAUGAUACUGAUUAUAAUGUUAUGAUGUUGUUUAAGAUAUUGAUUAUGAUAUUGUUAUGUUGCUAUGUUGUUUAAGAUAUUGAUUAUGAUAUUGUUAUGUUGUUAUGAUGUUGUAUAUAAUUGUUACUAUUAAGUGAUGAAUAUGUUGUACUAUAUAUGAUUAAUUAUUAUUAAGUGAAUAUUAUGUUAUGUUGUUGUAAGAUGAUGCGUAUGUUGUGAUGUAUAUAAUUGUUAUAUUAAGUUAUGAAUAUGUUGUACGAUAUAUGAUUAAUUAUUAUUAAGUGAAUAUUAUGUUAUGUUGUUGUUAUAUUAUUAUAAAAUGAUGAAUAUGUUGUUGUUGUUAUAUUAUUAUAAAAUGAUGAAUAUGUUGUUAUUUUUAUAUUAUUAUAAGAAGAUGUUUAUGUUAUGAUGUAUAUAAUUAUUAUUAUUAUUAAGUGAUGAUUAUAUUGUGUAGUUUAAGUUAUUAGUGAUGGUGAUUACUGUUGGAAUAAGCCCUAAUAGCCAAUCUAUAUUGAUUGGGUUUGGCUUUGUAUCAUGAUAUUGAUAUAAAUAUAUAUUGUGAAUAUAUAAUAACAAGGCAUUUCUUUAUUGAUUUUGUUUUGUUUCAAAAUAAUAAAGUCCCUAGAAUAGUUAGUCUGUUUAAUGGAACAUUAAGUAUAACUUAAUUGUGAGACCCCAUUAAACAUAAGGAAACUAUUCUCAAAGUAUCUGUAGUCAAGCUUUGUUGAGAAGUGGGAUAUCAUUAAAGCAUAGAGACUACAGACGAUUAUGUAGGUAGACUGAUGAUCACAUCUCACAGAUCAUGGAUAAAGAGUUAUCAAGUCUUCACAUAGAUAUAAAUAUUAGGAGUAAUAUUUAUAUUGGAUUGAUCCGCCAUGAGAAUACUACAUAGUAAAAGUUAUGAAAAGUGUCAUAAGAUAUUCUCAUAGUGAUAGUGGUGUAUUCCACCCUUCGACCUGAAACCACUAUGUACCCUAGAUGUUGGAGUCGAGUGCUUUGUCACCAUUCAAACGUUGUCCGUAACAGGAUGACUAUAAAGUUGGUUGAUGGGUACUCCAUGAAUCAUGCUGAGGGACAUGAGUGACCUAGAUGGAAUUUGCCCCUCCUACAUAACAGGAGAAAUGUCUACGGGCCCAAUAUUGAACUAGACAAGGAUGACACGGUCUAUGCCUUGUGUUCAAUAUAGACAUGAGGGCAAAAGGAUAAUUAUACACAUGAUCAUUAUCACAGAAAGGUUUCGUCAUAUUACAUGACAUUCUCGUCACUUGGGUAGCAGUGAUGUGUUGCUAGAUACCGCUCACUGUUUAUAAUAUUAAAUAUGUGAUUUAAUAUUAUUGCCAACGUUACGGGAACCUAUAGGGUCACACACAAAGGACAGAUAGAUGAGAGAAAUAAAUAAGUAAGACUUAUUUAUAAAAUAAUAAGUGAGACUUAUUUAUAAAAUAAUAACUGAGACUCAUUAUUAAUUAAAUAAUUAAAUAUGAUUUUAUUAUUUAAUUUACCAAAAAUAGAGAAACCCUAGCCGCCGCUCUCUAAACCUUGUUCUCUCUGAAUCUCCGUUGGAAUUGGCUAGCACCGAUCAUCGGAGAAGUUCUGUUCGUGUGGACUGAGUAGAGGCAUCGCUGCUUUGCUUUGCUCGUGAUCAGAAAUAUUUCUUCUACAAAGGUUCUGCUCUUCAAGAGGUAAACACAUGAAUCUUAAAGUGUUUAAGUUUCUAUUUGAUUUGUGAUUAAUGAUUUAAUCAAGAUCCGUUUCAAUGGGAUUUCUUCCGCAAAGAGGAUUAAAUUUUUGAAAAACCCCUCUUAAAAUCCCUUCAAUUACAUGAUGUUAUCUAGGAGUUGUUAAAUGUACUUGAUGAUGGUUAUGUUAAGUUGAUAAGUUGUCUUCUAUUCAUGAGAUGCUUGGUGGAGAAAUGUUAUUACGAAUUAAGAUGUUGUUAUGUCGUAUAUGAAUUAAGAUUAAGAUGUUGUUAUGUCGUAUAUGAAUUAAGAUUAAGAUGUUGUUAUGUUGAAUAUGAACUAUGAGUAUGAUGUGAUGAUCUAUGUUGUUAUGGUUUGGGUAAUACGUGUUAUAUAUGAUGAUGUUAUAAUGUGAUGAAUAUGAAGUAAAUGAUAAUAAGAAGUUGGUUGGACUAUUAAGAAUUAUACAUGAAGAAUUAUUAUUACUAAUAGAUGAAGUUAUUUGUGUUGUUAAAUAUAAUUAUUGAAUUAUAUGCUUGAUAUUAUUGUUUUGUGAAAUCUCACCCCUUUUGCUUGGAAAUGUUGCUCCUCGUAUGAGUAACUUGCAGGUGAUCGAGUUUAAGUUGCUGUUAGAUUGCUGUUGUGUGUGGAUUAGCUCUCAUGUGUGUCUUUAGGUGCUCUGAUACGUAACGGGAUGAGAAUUUUAUUGUUGUCUUUCUAUUCCUUACGUAUUGUUUUAAGAAGAAUUAUGACUAUGGUUUUAGAUUUGAUUAUAUGAGAAAUUUAUGAAGAGGCCUUCGUGCCAAAGACUGUUUAGUUAUUGAAUAAAUUCCGCUGCGAAGUAUUAAAGAUUUUGUUAUUGAAUUUUAAAGGAUAAAUAGUUAUUUAUUCAGUUUAUGAUUUUAAGAAAAGAACUGUAGCAUUCCGUUUACGUGAAUAACUUUGAUUAUUAAAUGGAAUUUUUAUGUUGGGAAAACAGGGUGUUACAAUGAGGGCUUGAUGCCCUGGUUGGUACCACAUGCAUGAUUAAGAAGUUGAAGUUGCAUUGUCGAGUCGAAGUCGUUGAUGUCGCAUCGUCGUUGUCAUUUUUCAAUGAGUUAUUAAUGAAUUACUAUAUGAAGAAUUAUUACUAUUAAUUGAUGAUGUUUAAGUUGUUAAAUGCAUUUGAUGAAUUCUAUGCUUAUUAUUAUUGAAUGUGAAAGCUCACUCCUUCUGUUUGAAUGUUGCCUCGACAUGGGUAACAUGCAGAUUAAUCAAGGAUAGCUGUUGAAGUGAGUUGACUCUCUCAUGUGUCGUCUUAGGGUCGCUCUGAUACGUAACAGGAUGGAGAUCUUGUUUGUUUUCCAUGUGUUACGUAUUUAUUAUGAUUUUAUGUUGAAGAGUUGUCUAAAUUGAAUUUUAAUAAGUUGUUUAAGUUGAGACCAUUGUGCCAACACAAUGAUGAAUUUAAAUGUUUUCCGCUGCAUUAAAAUUUAAAUUGAUCACAUGAGAUGAUUGAAAUAAAUAGUCAUUUUACUAUGUUUAUACUUGAAAGAAGUACAGCAUCCUGUUUUAGUUGUUUACUCUGAUUCAUGCAAAAAAUUUCAAGUUGGAAAAACGGGGUGUUACAAAUACUAUUGAAGGCUAGUGAAGUAUCAGAAUAGUUCAGUUGGCAGAGACUAUAAAUUGUAAUAUGCAGAGGUCGAGAUUCGAACUCCGAACACCUUACUUAUUCACCUUAAAAGGUGAAUUCUAGCUAUUAAACUACUUGAACAAAAAAAAGUUUGUGUGUGCAAGCGAUAUUGUUAAGAUUAAAAAAAAAAAACAGCGAACAAAAUAAAUUGACUAAAAUUAUGACAAAAAUUCGGCUUAAGUAUGGAUACGAACGAAUGAAAAGAUAAUAGUUUGGUGUGCCUAAAUUAUGACAGAAACUAUGAACUAAAUUAUAUUAAAAAGAAAAAAUAACAUUGUUCAACUUUUGCCAAAUAAAAAAUAAAAAAUAAAGAUAUAAUAUGUCAUAGGAAAACUCCGACUUUUGCCAAAUACUUACCAUUUAUAUGGGCCUAAUAGUUAUUUUGAAAUUAAACAACCAAUUUAUUAUUACAUAAAUAUAGAAAAACAGUUUAUUAUCCUCUCUUAUGUCAUAAAUAUAGGAAAACAAUUUGUCUCCUCUCUUAUUUGAUAGAAUAUAAUAAAACAGUCUAUUAUUAUCUCUUAAUCUCUUAAUCUAACUAAUUUACAUAUAAAAUAAAAUGAAAAAUAUUUAUCUGCUACUCCUAAAAAAAAUCAAUGUUCAAUAAAAUUUUAUAAUUAAUCUCGGUAAAACUCCUAAUCGUGUUAGUUACAUGGGUCUGAUAGUUAUUUUACAAAUAAAAAAGCAAUUUGUUAGGGCAUAAACUAUUAAAAGACCCACUUAUUUCCACAUGUCGCGUAACAUUGUGGUAAUUAUAUAAAAAUAUUAUAUCGGUAAUAUUGUAAAAUGUUUAAAGACGACAAAUAAAAAUCAUUUCAUUAAUGUAAUGUUUAUAUUAAAUAGUUUUUUCUUUUAUAUGCACAAAUCCGUUAAUAUUUGCAUCACACUCGUUGCAUACAUUAUUUGCUUAUAUCUGUGAAAACAUUUUUUUGAUGGGCGGAUGAAAAAUUUUAUGAUACUGAUAUGAGAAAGUCAAUAUGAUAAAGUUUCGAAAACUAAUAACUAUUUUUAAAAUAUAAACAUUAAUGUAGUAUUUCUAUUAAAAAGGAUUAAGAGGAUAAUCAAAUAUGAGAAUAAAUCGUUUUGCUAUAUUUAUAUCAUAAGAGAAGAAAAUAACCCAUCCUCCUAUCAUUUAUGCCAUAUUACAUUGUUUUUAUAUGCUUGGUUUUUUAUUUGCAAAAUGAUCAUUUGGCCCAUAAAAUUAAGAAGAUUACAAGCUUAACUGAGGUUAAUUAUGAAAUUUUGUUGGAGAUAUAUUUUCCUAUAGUAGUACUAGUAGAUAUAGGAAAAUAGUUUGUACUCCCACUACAAAAAAUUUGACAUAGAAUGACAGCGAAGUUCUGUAGGUAAGGGUGAAAAACUGCAGGUGUAGCCCAUAAAACCUAUUCCAACAGGCGUAUUACUCCACCCUUUUAAUUUUGCAAUACCAACAACAAUAUUUGGCUAUACCAAUGGCAAGUCAUUGUCACAAAAGCAUAUAGCGAUGGUAAUUCAUGAAAGUGGUGAGAUGAUAACUCUCUUACUUGAAAUGCUAACGAGUUACAUGUUUUCUUAGGUGGUUUCAAAGUUAAGGGGCCCCAAAUUUGGAAAAAAAAAAAAGUUUAUUUAUGGACAAAAUCCGUCACUAAAUGGUUAUUGUCCGUAGGUAAAAGACUAAAAUAUAAAAUUUCGUUGUCAAUUAUACAUGGUCCAUAGGUAAAUGUCUAAUGUACCUAUAGGUUGUCAAUUAUACAUAGUCAGUAGUUAAAUGUCUAAUGUACCUAUAGGUAAAGGUAAUGCCUGAAUUGUAACUCGUAUAUUUAAACUGAGCCUCCCAUUUGAUUGGACUGGCCCUAAUUGGAGCCUCUGGUUGCAGUGGUUUAUUAUAUAUUAAGUAGCGGAGGUUUUAUAAAUCUCAAUUUUUAAAAUAACACAUUUGGCCCCCUACUUCACUCUCUUUUGUAAAUGUGGCCUUGGUUGGGUGCCGAAAUCACCGGUUUUUGAAAGUUGGGGAACUAAAUUACAAUUUAGCCAAAUAAUAAAAUAGAAAUGUGGCAUCUGAGUCAUGAAAUUUGUGAAUAUAAUUAUUUCACACUGCAACGACCACAAUUUGCAUCGUAGAUACCGCAAUGAUCACAACCACACACCCAUCACAAAUACAAGUUGUGAUACCAUUUAGCCCAAAAUAUACCAAGACAAAAAAAAAAAAACAUGCAAAAAGCAAAUAAUAACAUAAAAUAAAAAAUUAACAACAAAAUGAAAUUUUAUUGAUGAAAAACAUAGGAAAAUACAAGUGAUAUUGGAUCCAAACGAAAGUAAAAAAGAGCACAAUUGUAGACCAAACAUUAAUUCAGCAGCAUGCAAGAGACAUUAACUCAAACAUGGUUCGCGUAUAGGUCAUACAAACUGCUUACUAGCAGAUUCUUUAUUUAUAUAUUGUAGAUAAUUAUCAUAAGCUCCAUGCAUGCAUUAGUUAUCAUAUAGCCUGCAACUUGUCUGAUGCACUGCUUGCAGUUGUUUUCAAGUCUGAAGUGGUCAAUGACCAUGAAUGGAUGUCGUGUGCAAAACCAGUUAUUGAAGCACCAGAUAGACCAAAC